rnacentral:misc_RNA from 1 species
GAACGCACAUUGCGCCCGCCAGUAUUCUGGCGGGCAUGCCUGUUCGAGCGUCAUUUCAACCAUCAAGCCCCUGUGCUUGUGUUGGAGCCCUGCGGCUGCCGCAGGCUCCCAAACCCAGUGGCGGGCUCGUCGUCGUACCGAGUGCAGUAAAUUUACCACGCUCAGGGCACGCGACGGGUGACCGGCCAUAAAAAACCCCCCCUUCUCAAGGUUGACCUCGGAUCAGGUAGGAAUACCCGCUGAACUUAAG